ensembl:snRNA
AAGGAGAGAAGGUUAGCACUCCCCCUUGACAAGGAUGGAAGAGACCCUUGGGCCUAACAACACGCAUGCAUACGGUUAAGGCAUUGCUACCUACUUCCCCGCAGAGAAGGGGAAAGGGACAGGAUCUCCUGAGCUAAUUGUUUUU